rnacentral:tRNA from 1 species
GCCCUGGUGGCACAAUGGUUAAGCACUUGGCUGCCAAGCAAAAUGUUGGUGGUUCAAGCCCACCCAGUGGCU